UGUUGUAGCAAUACGAGGGAAAGUUCAGUGGCGAUCGGGUGCGUAACACGUGGGCAAUCUGCCUUAAAGUGUGGAAUAGCUCGGCGGAAGCCGAAUUAAUACCGCAUGUGGCUACUGGAGACAUCUUCGGGACGCUAAAGGUGGCGCAAGCUACCGCUUUUUGAGGAGCCCGCGGCCUAUCAGCUUGUUGGUGAGGUAACGGCUCACCAAGGCGUUGACGGGUAGCUGGUCUGAGAGGACGACCAGCCACACUGGGACUGAGACACGGCCCAGACACCUACGGGUGGCAGCAGUCGAGAAUUUUUGACAAUGGGGGAAACCCUGAUCGAGCGACGCCGCGUGGAGGAUGAAGGUCUUCGGGUUGUAAACUCCUGUCAUUUGGGAACAAGGCGUAUGUGUUAACUGUACGUGCGUUGAUAGUACCAGAAGAGGAAGAGACGGCUAACUCUGUGCCAGCAGCCGCGGUAAUACAGAGGUCUCAAGCGUUGUUCGGAUUCAUUGGGCGUAAAGGGUGUGUAGGUGGCGCGCUAAGUCGGGUGUGAAAUUUCGGAGCUUAACUCCGAAACUGCAUUCGAUACUGGCGUGCUUGAGGACUGGAGAGGAGACUGGAAUUCUCGGUGUAGCA
rnacentral:rRNA from 1 species